rnacentral:rRNA from 1 species
UUGAACGCUGGCGGCAUGCUUUACACAUGCAAGUCGAACGGCAGCGGGGGCUUCGGCCUGCCGGCGAGUGGCGAACGGGUGAGUAAUGCAUCGGAACGUACCCAGUCGUGGGGGAUAACUACGCGAAAGCGUGGCUAAUACCGCAUACGACCUGAGGGAGAAAGCGGGGGCUCGCAAGACCUCGCGCGAUUGGAGUGGCCGAUAUCUGAUUAGCUAGUAGGUGAGGUAAAGGCUCACCUAGGCGACGAUCCGUAGCUGGUCUGGGAGGACGACCAGCCACACUGGAACUGAGACACGGUCCAGACUCCUACGGGAGGCAGCAGUGGGGAAUUUUGGACAAUGGGCGAAAGCCUGAUCCAGCCAUACCGCGUGAGUGAAGAAGGCCUUCGGGUUGUAAAGCUCUUUCAGCCGGAAAGAAAUUGCUUCUAUUAAUACUAGGAGUAGAUGACGGUACCGGAAGAAGAAGCACCGGCUAACUACGU